CAGUCGCCGCGGGAAAACGUAGGGGGCGAGCGUUGUCCGAAGUUACUGGGCGUAAAGAGCGCGUAGGCUGGUCUUUAAGUGAGUGGUGAAAGGUUCGGGCUCAACCCGGACACUGCCUUUCAUACUGGGGACCUUGAGUGUGGGAGAGGCGAGUGGAAUGGUCGGUGUAGCGGUGAAAUGCGUAGAUAUCGAUCGGAACACCCAUGGCGAAGGCAGCUCGCUGGCCUAACACUGACGCUGAGGCGCGAAAGCGUGGGGAGCAAACAGGAUUAGAUACCCCAGUAGUCCCUGUCUCUUAUAC
rnacentral:rRNA from 1 species